CCUACGGGAGGCAGCAGUGGGGAAUAUUGCACAAUGGGCGAAAGCCUGAUGCAGCGACGCCGCGUGAGGGAUGACGGCCUUCGGGUUGUAAACCUCUUUCAGUAGGGAAGAAGCGAAAGUGACGGUACCUGCAGAAGAAGCGCCGGCUAACUACGUGCCAGCAGCCGCGGUAAUACGUAGGGCGCAAGCGUUAUCCGGAAUUAUUGGGCGUAAAGAGCUCGUAGGCGGUUUGUCGCGUCUGCCGUGAAAGUCCGGGGCUCAACUCCGGAUCUGCGGUGGGUACGGGCAGACUAGAGUGAUGUAGGGGAGACUGGAAUUCCUGGUGUAGCGGUGAAAUGCGCAGAUAUCAGGAGGAACACCGAUGGCGAAGGCAGGUCUCUGGGCAUUAACUGACGCUGAGGAGCGAAAGCAUGGGGAGCGAACAGGAUUAGAUACCCUGGUAGUCCAUGCCGUAAACGUUGGGCACUAGGUGUGGGGGACAUUCCACGUUUUCCGUACCGUAGCUAACGCAUUAAGUGCCCGCCUGGGGAGUACGGCCGCAAGGCUAAAACUCAAAUGAAUUGACGG
rnacentral:rRNA from 1 species